GAUGAACGCUAGCGGGAGGCUUAAUACAUGCAAGUCGAACGGUAACAGCAGAGCUUGCUCUGGCUGACGAGUGGCGCACGGGUGAGUAACGCGUACACAAUCUACCUAUAGGCGGGGGAUAGCCACUGGAAACGGUGAAUAAUACCCCAUAGUAUUACUAUUAUGAUAUAUUAGUAAUUAAAGCUCCGGCGCUUAUAGAUGAGUGUGCGUCCGAUUAGCUAGUUGGUAAGGUAACGGCUUACCAAGGCGACGAUUGGUAGGGGGCGUGAGAGCGUGAUCCCCCACACGGGUACUGAGACACGGACCCG
rnacentral:rRNA from 1 species